UACGUAGGGGGCGAGCGUUGUCCGAAGUUACUGGGCGUAAAGCGCGUGUAGGCGGGUCUUUUAAGUGAGGGGUGAAAGGUUCAGGGCUUAACCCGGACACUGCCUUUCAUACUGGGGACCUUGAGUGCGGGAGAGGCGAGUGGAAUGGUCGGUGUAGCGGUGAAAUGCGUAGAUAUCGAUCGGAACACCCAUGGCGAAGGCAGCUCGCUGGCCUGUAACUGACGCUGAGACGCGAAAGCGUGGGGAGCAAACAGG
rnacentral:rRNA from 1 species